AUGGAAUCUGAAGAUGCUGCAGAACCACCAAAAAGAGCUAACCAAACUGAUAGUAGAAGCAUUGGUUCAGCAAAAUCAAUCAAAGCUGAUGAAGCUGAUGAGGAUGAAGUUGAAGUGGCACGGAUGGCAGCAAUCAACAAGGAAAUUAAACGUGUGUUGACAGAAGUUCUUCCGAAGGUUGUCAUUGCAUGGAGGUUACUGAUGAUCUUUUUAGUGAGAUUGCAAGCAAAGUUAUGA
rnacentral:rRNA from 1 species